GACCCAUAGGUUUAAGAGGCGGUGACCGUGGCGGUGGAGAAGGAGGAUGAGGUAGCCAACACUGUUUUUAUAUAUGUGUUUUUUUUUAUUGGGGUAGCCCCCAAAAUAUUGGGACAUAUAAAAAAAGACAACUCUGGUCCGCAGAGUAGCUGUUGACAUUAUAGUUGCGCAGGAACUUUGUUGACUCUAGAGUACCUUGGGCAAAUCGCACAUCCACGUGGCGGUGACUUUGCAUGCGGAUGUCAUUCAUAUCAACUUUCUAUGUCAGUUUCUGCGCCUACCAUGGUGACCAUGGGUAACGGGGAAUCAGGGUUCCCUUCCGUACAGGGAUCCUCAGAAAUGGCUACCACAUGCAAGGAAGGCAGCAGAUGCGCAAAUGACCCAUUCCCGACGCAGGUAGGUAUUGACGACAAAUAACAAUAUAGGACUCUUUAGAGGCCCUGUAAUUGUAAUGAGUCCACUUGAAAUCCUUUAACUCUGAUCAAUUGGAGGGAAGUCUGGUGCAGAGCCACUGACGCAUGCGUGCUGCAGCUGAAACUCCACU